AGACUCCUACGGGAGGCAGCAGUGGGGAAUACUGCGCAAUGGGCGGAAGCCUGACGCAGCAACGCUGCGUGGGGGAUGAAGGCCUUCCGGGUUGUAAACCUCUUUCAGCAGGGGCGAAGCGAGAGUGACGGUACCUGCAGAAGAAGCGCCGGCUAACUACGUGCCAGCAGCCGCGGUAAUACGUAGGGCGCGAGCGUUGUCCGGAAUUAUUGGGCGUAAAGAGCUCGUAGGUGGCUUGCUGCGUCUGCUGUGAAAUCCUGGGGCUUAACUCCAGGCUUUCAGUGGAUACGGGCGGGCUAGAGGUAGGUAGGGGAGAAUGGAAUUCCCGGUGUAGCGGUGAAAUGCGCAGAUAUCGGGAGGAACACCGG
rnacentral:rRNA from 1 species